AGAGUACGUGAAACCGUUCAGGGGUAAACCUGAGAAACCCGAAAGGUCGAAAGGGGAGAUUCAGCGUGUCUCGAUUGCGGCGCUGGAUGGUCGUGCGACGGAAGACGUACGCGUCAUCCGCACCUUCCGUCCUCCGAACCGUGGUCGAACGCGUGCACUUCUCCCCCUGUAGGACGUCGCGAUCCGUUGGGUGCCGGUCUAAGGCCCGCAAUGGAGCCCGUUCGGACGGUUCACCCGUUCCGGACGAACUUGCGGUGUUUCCCGGUCGGCUCGCUCGACGGUAUACAGAUGGCGCGGGGCCGCUACACAUUAGUUAGCGUCCGACCGGCGGCAAGCGCGCUCGUCGCGACGGUGAUCGGACCUGGUGCCGGUCCUGUCCCCGAGUGGCUGUUCGCUGCCGUGUUCUCGGACAGACCUCGUCGAAACGCCGAUCUGCGACGCUAUAGCUUUGGGUACUUUCAGGACCCGUCUUG
rnacentral:rRNA from 1 species